CACUCGCAGGACGCCGUGCUCGGCGUUUUAAAGCCCAUCUAAAUAACAAUUCGUCCGCCUUCAAGACCGCCUGCCGAGCGAUUUACACGUAACGUGUCGACCGGAAAGAAACGUCUUUCGCCGCGCACCCCGCGGCGCAGCUGACUCGAGAAAGAGAGAAUAAGAAGUUCCCUUCGCGUUACACCGUUCUAUUAAUUCAAACUUCUUCGUCUCAACUUUUGGCGAUAAAGAGGAAAGUGAUACGCAGCAUACCCCCAGGUAAACAUCCUCUGCUGUCACCGCUUGCUUAAACUUCAUCUCGUACUCGGGCACCGUUCGGGGGUCGUAAUCCUGCGUGUUCUGAGCGUCAAUCGCUUCCGAGGGGUGCCAGAUAUCAUCAUUCACACCACGCAGCGGCGCGUGAGGUCCUGAGUGGGUCUGAGGAGCAUCGAUUGAAGAGUUUUAUAUGGACCCUUGAAGCGUGUCGGUCAGCAUACAUGUAAAGAGGCAUGAAAUCGUGCGAUAGUGAUUUCAUCGAAGCCGCCGCCGCCAUCACUCUGUCGCCAUCGGCCCGGCAUCGCCGUUCUUUGGCCGGCCAGAUAAUAUCCCCGGAUGAAGCGCGUCGAGUUAAACGCAACGGCACCGACGAAAAUCGUCCGGACGGGACGAAAACUCGAUGCAGAAUUAUAUCGGAAAUUGCCGGGCGCGAGGGCGUGCACACGCGCGGAAGCGCGAGAUGUUUCAAACAAAAUCCCGUCCCAUUUCCAUAAUGGAUCAGCUGUAAACGCCGAACUCACCCAACUUCCUCGCGCCCGCCUGCGGUAAAUCGUCCUCGGUGUCGGGGUCAUUCUCCGGCGGGCAGAUCAAAUUCUGCAGCGCCUCUAAA